rnacentral:rRNA from 1 species
CCUUUUGAGAUUAAUUUAAGGUCUAAUCUGCCCACUGAGUGAUUAAAGGGCCGCGGUAUUUUAGACCGUGCGAAGGUAGCAUAAUCAUUAGUUUUUUAAUUGAAAGCUGGAAUGAAUGAUUGGAUGAGAAAAUGACUGUCUCAAGUUAAAUUAUUUAGAAUUUUAUUUUUAAGUUAAAAAGCUUAAAUAAUUUUAAAAGACGAGAAGACCCUAUAGAGUUUUAUAAUUAUUUUAUUUUAAAAGUUAAUUGUUUUUAUAAGUUUUUAAUUAUAAUAAUUAUUUUGUUGGGGUGACAGAAAAAUUUAAUGAACUUUUUUUAAAUUUAUAUACUUAUAAGUAAAUUGUUGAUCCAAAAAUUUUGAUUAUAAGAUAAAAUUACCUUAGGGAUAACAGCGUAAUUUUUUUUGAGAGUUCUUAUCGAAAAAAAAGAUUGCGACCUCGAUGUUGGAUUAAAAUUAAGUUUUGGUGUAGAAGCUAAAAUUUUAGGUCUGUUCGACCUUUAAAACUUU